rnacentral:rRNA from 1 species
CCUACGGGGGGCAGCAGUAGGGAAUCUUUCACAAUGGGCGAAAGCCUGAUGGAGCAACGCCGCGUGCAGGAUGAAGGCCUUCGGGAUGUAAACUGCUUUUAUAAGCGAGAAAUAUGAUGGUAACUUAUGAAUAAGGAUCGGCUAACAACGUGCCAGCAGCCGCAGUCAUACGUAGGAUCCGAGCAUUAUCCGGAGUGACUGGGUGUAAAGAGUUGCGUAGGUGGCAUAAUAAGUAGCUGGUGAAAUCUGGUGGCUCAACCAUUCAGACUAUUAGCGAAACUGUUAAGCUCGAGACCGUUAGGGGUAAGUGGAAUGUCUAGUGUAGGAGUGAAAUCCGUAGAUAUUAGAAAGAACACCAAUAGCGAAGGCAGGUUACUGGCACGGUUCUGACACUAAGGCACGAAAGCGUAGGGAGCGAACGGGAUUAGAUACCCGUGUAGUC